rnacentral:rRNA from 1 species
UUAANUUCGGGGUGGCAGGCGAUACGGGCAUAACUAGAGUGCUGUAGGGGAGACUGGAAUUCCUGGUGUAGCGGUGGAAUGCGCAGAUAUCAGGAGGAACACCGAUGGCGAAGGCAGGUCUCUGGGCAGUAACUGACGCUGAGGAGCGAAAGCAUGGGGAGCGAACAGGAUUAGAUACCCUGGUAGUCCAUGCUGUAAACGGUGGGCGUUAGGUGUGGGGACCGGUUUGGUUUCUGUGCCGUAGCUAACGCAUUAAGCGCCCCGCCUGGGGAGUACGGCCGCAAGGCUAAAACUCAAAGGAAUUGACGGGGGCCCGCACAAGCGGCGGAGCAUGUGGAUUAAUUCGAUGCGACGCGAAGAACCUUACCUGGGUUUGACAUGCACCAGACGGUUGUAGAGAUACGUACCUCCCUUUGUGGUUGGUGUGCAGGUGGUGCAUGGUUGUCGUCAGCUCGUGUCGCGAGAUGUUGGGUUAAGUCCCGCAACGAGCGCAACCCUUGUCUUAUGUUGCCAGCACUUUGGGUGGGGACUCAUGAGAGACUGCCGGGGUUAACUCGGAGGAAGGUGGGGAUGACGUCAAAUCAUCAUGCCCUUUAUGCCCAGGGCUUCACACAUGCUACAAUGGUUAGUACAACGCGCGGCAAACCUGUGAGGGUGAGCGAAUCGCUGAAAGCUAAUCUCAGUUCGGAUUGGGGUCUGCAACUCGACCCCAUGAAGUCGGAGUCGCUAGUAAUCGCAGAUCAGCAAUGCUGCGGUGAAUACGUUCCCGGGCCUUGUACACACCGCCCGUCACGUCAUGAAAGUUGGUAACACCCGAAGCCCAUGGCCCAACNACCGUUUUUUGGUGGGGGGAGUGGU